AUUGAAAGCUGGCGGCAGGCCUAACACAUGCAAGUCGAGCGGAGCAGCGGCCGGGUGCGUAAUGCCUAGGACUCUGCAUGGGAGUGGGGGAGAACGUACAGAAACGGGCGCUAAUACCGCAUACUAUCACAUGCGGCUAGGUCGGAGUCGCUAGUGGGAGGGGUAAAGGCAUACCAAGGCGACGAACAGUAACUGGUGUUAGAGGAUGAUCAGUCACACGGGAACUGAGACACGGUCCAGACUCCUACGGGAGGCAGCAGUGGGGAAUAUUGGACAAUGGGCGAAAGCCUGAUCCAGCCAUGCCGCGUGUGUGAAGAAGGUCUUCGGAUUGUAAAGCACUUUAAGUUGGGAGGCGUUACCCACAGAAUAAGCACCGGCUAACUUCGUGCCAGCAGCCGCGGUAAUUC
rnacentral:rRNA from 1 species